rnacentral:rRNA from 1 species
CAAUAGCGUAUAUUAAUGUUGUUGCAGUUAAAAAGCUCGUAGUCGGAUUUUUGUGUCAUGUCGAACUGUCUGCCGAUUGGUUUGUACGGUUUGACGGGCAUAUUCCUUCCAGAGGCUCCGUGAGGCCUUCAUUGGUUUCGCGGUUGAAUCUGGGUCUUUUACUUGAGAAAAUUAGAGUGUUCAAAGCAGGCCUAUGCUCUGAAUAGGUUAGCAUGGAAUAAUAGAAUAGGACUUUGGUUCUAUUUUGUUGGUUUCUAGGACCGAAGUAAUGAUUAAUAGGGAUAGUUGGGGGUAUUCAUAUUCCAUUGUCAGAGGUGAAAUUCUUGGAUUAACGGAAGAUGAACUACUGCGAAAGCAUCUGCCAAGGAUGUUUUCAUUGAUCAAGAACGAAAGUUAGGGGAUCGAAGACGAUUAGAU